rnacentral:rRNA from 1 species
CAUGAGGAAAGCUUGCUUUCCUUGAUGACGACUGGCGCACGGGUGAGUAACGCGUAUCCAACCUUCCCAUAACUACGGGAUAACCCGUUGAAAGACGGCCUAAUACCGUAUGACAUCGUUUGCUGACAUCAAAUAACGAUUAAAGGUUUAGCGGUUAUGGAUGGGGAUGCGUCUGAUUAGCUUGUUGGCGGGGUAACGGCCCACCAAGGCUACGAUCAGUAGGGGUUCUGAGAGGAAGGUCCCCCACAUUGGAACUGAGACACGGUCCAAACUCCUACGGGAGGCAGCAGUGAGGAAUAUUGGUCAAUGGGCGAGAGCCUGAACCAGCCAAGUAGCGUGCAGGAUGACGGCCCUAUGGGUUGUAAACUGCUUUUAUGUGGGGAUAAAGUGCGUGACGUGUCAUGCAUUGCAGGUACCACAUGAAUAAGGACCGGCUAAUUCCGUGCCAGCAGCCGCGGUAAUACGGGAGGUCCGGGCGUUAUCCGGAUUUAUUGGGUUUAAAGGGAGCGUAGGCUGUCUAUUAAGCGUGUUGUGAAAUUUACCGGCUCAACCGGUGGCUUGCAGCGCGAACUGGUCGACUUGAGUAUGCAGGAAGUAGGCGGAAUUCAUGGUGUAGCGGUGAAAUGCUUAGAUAUCAUGACGAACUCCGAUUGCGCAGGCAGCUUACUGUAGCAUAACUGACGCUGAUGCUCGAAAGUGCGGGUAUCAAACAGGAUUAGAUACCCUGGUAGUCCGCACGGUAAACGAUGGAUGCUCGCUAUUCGUCCUAUUUGGAUGAGUGGCCAAGUGAAAACAUUAAGCAU